AGGCGCAGAACGCCUUCAAGAAAGUUAAUAGCAACGAGUUGCGCUCAGUCGUAAUAUCAAUGUUCUGUGUAGGCGUUUGUUUAUUCUCAUACAAAAUGUAAUGUCAUCGAGCACUUGCCCUUGACACAUUGUACGUGUAACAUCUCGUUUUUUAAUUAAAUGUAUAUUUGGAACAUUCGGGACUUUGAUUGGCACCAUUAUAUCCUCUAAAGAUAUAACAUGGUGGCCCAUGAGGGGAACUAAAAUAAUAAUCGCAAACGGAAAACCGGCAAAAGUUUCCAAAGGCGUAAUACAGUCGACGGCGCGCGGCGGCAACGACUUCACAAUUUCGAAAGAGCUACGUGGACAAGCAAAAGCCACGGGUUCCCGUGUAAGAAGAACUGCCUCCUGGACAGCAUAGGAGCCCAGGGUUCGAGCAGUGGUGCAGCCAAAGCAUCACAUCGAGGCGAGCGUCAGCGUGUUAACCAAAAGUUAAGUGCCCAUCCUUUGCGUAAAUUCCAUCCAACUAUCCAAAUUUCCAUAAAUACCUAUUUAAACAUUGAGAAUAGUGCUUCAUUUGUGUAAAUUAAAGUUAUUUCGUGCAUAAUAUUGCCGAACUUUCCCGUAAUUGUUUCAAAUAGUAUACCUAAUCGAGUUAUAUUCAUCCACCCUCAACAAAAAAUAAUUAAAUUUUUCUUGGAACAAAGACUGUGCAUUAGUUAUUAGCUCAUUAGCAAUUCAAAUAAGGUCAAUAUUACGGAUAAUAUCUAUCUAAGAUAGAUCUAUUCAUUUAUUUGUGCAUUUGUUGUAGUUUUGUUUUGUUUUUGUUAUUUUCAACUAGUGGGAGCUAUUCAAUAGUAUUGUAGCCCAGUCUUAGUGUGUAUUGCCGACUAUUUCAGGGUAAAUAACGCCGUGCUUGCGACAAGUAUUCUCCGAUCAUUCGGGGCUUAGUCGAGCGAGUUCAUACCAGCGCGAGCAGCAAUCAGCUGAUUGUGCGCGCGACGCAGACCGGCUUCCCGUACGGCAGGUGACACCGAGACGAGGAGCGUGAGCCCAUUCAUUUUCUUUCAUUUAUAUUGUUUUAAUACUUCCAAGUUUAAAGUAAAUUUCAUAGUGGUGAUUCACAAUGUCUGAAAACAAGCGUUAUAAAGAAUUAGUUACUAAACGAGCGUCCGCCAAAGGACAGAUUACAAAGUUUAAAAAUUAUUUAAGUAAUAUUUCCAAAGAAACUGAACUAAAUGAUAUUCAAUUAACGGAAUUAAGAUUGAAGUUAGCCAAGUUCGAGGCUUUGUCUGUUAGGGUUGAUGACUUGCAGAGUGAGAUAGAUGUUUUAAAUCCUGAGAAUAUUGAGGCGGAAAUUGAUGAGCGUGAUCGCAUGGAGCAGGAUAUAGUUAUUAAUAUAGCCACUGCUAAAAACUUGUUAGACAUACUUUCGAGCAAAAGAGAAAGCGAUAAUAGGCGUAGCUCCGUUCACAAUGCUUCAUGUUGUAACGACGAACAUUAUCGCAAUGUAGAAUUUAAGCUUCCUCAAAUUCAAAUCACAAAAUUUAACGGUGAAUAUUUCCGCUGGUUAGAGUUUAGAGAUACAUUCGAAAGUUUAAUUCAUAAUAAUGAGCGCAUCCCUGAAAUAAAUAAAUUUCACUAUCUAAAUUCAUAUUUGCAAGGUGACGCAGCCAGAAUCGUUUCUAAUUUUGAAGUUUCGGCAAAAAAUUAUGGUGAAGCUUGGAAACUACUCUGUAGCCGCUACAAUAACAAUAGAAUAUUAAUUAAUCACCAUUUGAGUUCACUAGUUCACUUAAAACAGCUUCCACGUGAGUCAGAGAAAUCAUUAAGGUAUUUGGUUGAUCAUAUUACAAAAAAUUUGCGUGCUCUUGCCAGUCUUGGACAGUCAACUGACAAUUGGGAUGUUUUAGUUAUAUACAUGGUCUCGGGUAAGCUGGAUAAUCAAACAUUGCUCAAGUGGGAGGAGUAUCGUAGCACUAUGGUGAACGACUCCCCGACUUUAGAGCAGUUUUUUAAAUUUAUUACGGACCGUGCUAAUGUGCUUGAGUCUACAAGUCGUAAUAACAAUCAUAGUGAUAAUGUUAGUGUUCCUAGAGUGCCUAGCAAUCCGCAGCGGUCAACUACAAAUAAUAAUAAUCAAAUUCAUCAUUUUCAAAAAUAUAAUCAAAGACAUAAUUCGAAUAGCGUAGUUAAAUCGUUUGCAACCACUAGCCAUAAUAAAAACAAGGCACAGCCUGGAUUUACAUGCAUAAUUUGUGAUCAACGUCAUAGAAUUUAUGACUGCCCAACAUUCAAGGCUAAAAGUAUUGACGAAAGAAUGAACGAUGUCUUAAAGUACAAACUAUGUACGAAUUGUUUAAGACAGGGUCACUCUGUCAAUGACUGUCGCUUAAGAAGUUGCCAGGAACCGGGUUGCACUGAGAAACAUAACAGCUUGCUGCAUCGGCCACCAGCGUUAGUAGGUCAGCUCAUCUCCGUCGAGGAGCAGGGGGAGGUUGUAUCCGCUUAUUGUAACAAAAAUACUAAUCAAAUUAUAUUAUCAACUGCCGUAGUCGAGGCAUUGAAUCCACUUGAUGGGCAAAAGAUCAAGGUUCGUGCGCUUUUAGACUGCGGUAGUCAAUCAUCAUUUAUUACUGAAUCCCUUAAGGUCGGAUUAGCAUUAAAAUCUUUUCCCAUUGACACUCUAAAGGUCAUUGGCAUAGGAAACACGCCAAACAACAAGGUUAAUGAAAGCUGUAAUAUUAAACUACAGUCAAUCAAUAGUUCAUUUAAUAUUUCUUGUUCAUGUUUGGUUCUAAAGGAGCUGACUGGGCGAUUGCCAAAGUUUCCCAUCGACAUCAGCUUAUUGCAGCUACCUGAUAAUAUUUCGUUAGCUGACCCCAUGUUUUAUCAGCCAGCCUGUAUAGAUAUAUUGAUAGGUGCUGAUUUAUUUUGGGAUAUUUUAGGAAACGAACAAAUCUCGUUAGGAAUCAAUAAUCCAAAGUUGAGAAGUUCGCAAUUAGGUUGGAUAGUGUCCGGUCCCAUUCAAGCAGUGACUCCUGACAAAAGGGUGCACUGUAAUCAUAGUGUAAUUUCCAAUGAUAAUGAUAGUGUUGACAAGCUUCUAACUAAAUUCUGGGAGCUGGAAGAAAUACCAGCCAAACCAAUAACCAAUGAAAACGAAUGUGAAAGGCAUUUUCUCGCCCACACAACGAGAACUAAUACAGGCAGAUUUUGUGUGAAAUUGCCACUUAAGGAUAGCGCAGACUGCUUGGGCGAUACAUACAAGUUAGCUAAAAAACGCUUUAUAAAUUUAGAAAAGAGGUUAGGACGAAACCCCACGUUAAAAUCAGAAUACACUAAUUUUUUAAAGGAAUAUGCGGAUUUGGGUCAUUUAUCAGUGGUAGACGUCAAUUGUGCAUUAACUUCGAGUUAUUAUCUUUGUCAUCACGCGGUUCUAAAACAAGAAAGCGAAACUACCAAGCUUCGGGUGGUAUUUGAUGGUUCAGCACCGUCUUCUUCCGGCUAUUCACUAAAUGACAUAUUGAUGGUAGGUCCCAACGUGCAGGAUAAUCUUUUUUCCAUACUGGUACGUUCUAGACAGUAUAAAUACCUACUCACGGGCGAUGUAGAAAAAAUGUUUCGCCAGGUACUGCUACAUGAGGAUGACAGACACCUGCAGCGUAUUUUGUGGAGAGAGACAGAAUCUGAACCCAUUAAGACUCUGGAGCUCAAUACUGUAACCUAUGGAACGGCCAGUGCAAGUUAUUUGAGUACUCGCUGUUUAUGGCAGAUUGGUCAACUGCAGGACGAUGUGCAUAUAAAGGACAUCAUCCAACAGGACUUCUACGUAGAUGACCUCAUAACUGGGUCCGAUGACGCCCAGGAGUUAGUAUACAUUCAUAGGUCUGUAACUCAAGCGUUAGAAUCAGCUUGUUUUCAUUUAAGAAAAUUUAAAACUAAUAAUUCCGCUAUCUUUGAUAAUGUUAUUGUAAAUGAACAAGAUAAGUUACUUUUUAGCGAGUCCAUAAGCACCCUAGGGUUGGGCUGGACGCCUUCUAGUGAUAUGUUACAUUUUCCUAUAAAGGGUUUUUCAAGUGAUGAUAGUCAAACUAUAACAAAACGACUAAUCAUGUCAAACGCUUUUAAGAUAUUUGAUCCAUUAGGCAUAUUAAGUCCGGUCGUAGUGAAACCUAAAAUAAUGCUGCAAAAGCUUUGGCAGCUAAAGUUAGAUUGGGAUCAGCCGGUCCCAGAUGCGAUAAAAAACGACUGGAAUAAGUUUUCCGAAAGCAUACAAUAUUUGUCCAAUUUACAAGUGCCUAGGUUAGUUUUAGGUGAAUCGCCACAAUGUAUUGAACUACAUUCGUUUAGCGACGCUUCAAAACACGCGUACGGAGCAUGCAUUUAUAUGCGGUGCAUAAAUAUGAACGGUGACGUCACCGUCAGAUUGCUGUGUGCAAAGUCGAAAGUGGCGCCAUUAAAACCCACUACUAUACCGCGCCUCGAACUCUGUGCAGCCUUACUCGCCGCUAAACUAACACGAGCAGUACUCGAUUCACUUCGACGUAAACCCGCUAAACUGGUGCACUGGUGUGACUCAUCUGUGGUAUUGUGUUGGAUGCGCUGUGACGCCAGUAAGCUAAAGGUGUAUGUAGCUAACCGCGUUACAGAAAUAAGGGAGUUAACGUCUUCUUCAGCGUGGCGAUAUGUUCCAACGCAGUCUAACCCGGCUGACUUAAUUUCCAGGGGUGUGGACGCUAAACCAUUUACAUCAAUGGCACUGUGGUGGACGGGGCCUAGCUUUCUACUCCUAAACGAGUCCGAAUGGCCUAAGUUAAACACCAAUGAGCCGGACAUUCUACCGGAAUUGAAGGGCACUUCAUUAUUGGAAGACCGUUGACUGCUCUGCCAACACCAACACUGGAGGAUGUCAAGGAAAGCCAGCUACGACGCUAUGAACGGCUGGAAAGGACGCACCGUCAUUUUUGGAAGAGAUGGCAGCGGGAGUAUCUGUCUGAAUUGCAGCACAGGACUAAAUGGAAGGCGAGCUCAUCAAAGCUCGAUAUCGGAGACAUGGUACUCUUGGCUGACGACAACGCACCGCCACUUGCCUGGAGACUCGGCCGAGUUACCCGACUCAUAUCCGGCCCUGAUGGAAUUUCCCGAGUAGCAGACGUUCUCACCAACAGGGGCAACGUGCGGCGCUCGCUAGUACGGCUCUGCAGGCUACCCACCGCGGAGGAACUAAAGGGUUAUUGAAAGCAAGCUUUCAAUGGCCGGGAGUAUGUUCAGGCGCAGAACGCCUUCAAGAAAGUUAAUAGCAACGAGUUGCGCUCAGUCGUAAUAUCAAUGUUCUGUGUAGGCGUUUGUUUAUUCUCAUACAAAAUGUAAUGUCAUCGAGCACUUGCCCUUGACACAUUGUACGUGUAACAUCUCGUUUUUUAAUUAAAUGUAUAUUUGGAACA